rnacentral:misc_RNA from 1 species
AAUUGCUUCAUCAAGGUCAAAUGGUCUGUUUGUUGCAGCAAGAACAAGGAUGCGUUCACCCUGCUUCGUCAUAAGGCCAUCCCAAUGCGUCAUGAACUCAUUCUUUAUCUUUCGCAUGGCUUCAUGCUCCCCAACUCUAGUCCGCUGCCCAAGCAUGCUAUCUACCUCAUCCACAAAAAUAAUAGUUGGGGAAACUUUGGCUGCCAGUGUAAAUAAAGCUCGAACAUUUUUCUCAUCUUCGCCAAACCAUUUUGAAGUGAUUGUAGACAUGGAUACAUUAAUGAAGCUUGCUCCAGCCUCUUUGGCAAUGGCCUUGGCCAUCAUUGUCUUUCCCGUGCCAGGAGGCCCAAAGAGCAAGAUUCCCCUGCAAGGCUUUAGAAGUCCUCCUUUGAAUAGAUCUGGUCUUCGAAGAGGAAGCAUCACCAAUUCCUGAAGGGAUUCUUUGGUCUCUUCCAAUGCACCAAUAUCAGAAAAUGAUACAUUAAUCUCAUUUGCGGGAAUGACCUCAGGCCUUAUGCGCUUCUCAAAUUCAUUGUCAGGAGGA